rnacentral:rRNA from 1 species
UACAGAGGGUGCAAGCGUUAAUCGGAAUUACUGGGCGUAAAGCGCGCGUAGGCGGUUUGCUAAGUGGGAUGUGAAAUCCCCGGGCUUAACCUGGGAAUUGCAUUUCAAACUGGCCGACUAGAGUACGGUAGAGGGAGGUAGAAUUUCCUGUGUAGCGGUGAAAUGCGUAGAUAUAGGAAGGAAUACCAGUGGCGAAGGCGGCCUCCUGGAUCGAUACUGACGCUGAGGCGCGAAAGCGUGGGGAGCAAACAGG